rnacentral:rRNA from 1 species
AUGGCGGCUCUGCUGCACGGACCCGCGCGAGCACGGCAUCCUGGACCGCCGCUUCCACCCGCGCCACUGGAUCAUGCUCAGGGAAACAGGAGAGGAGACUCGCCGCGUCGCCGGUGCUUGAACGUCUCCACCGGCUGCUCAAGAUGCGUGUGCCUGCCGGAGCUCGACGGCCACGACGUGUUCGGCCCCACCACGAAGGGCCUCCUCGUCCUCCUCAACAGAACCACCUGUGUGGUUCGCCUGUUGAACCCGGUCACCCGUCAGACGGCCGAUCUUCCGCCGGCCACCACUCUCAUGACCGAGACGGAACGUCUGCAGGGAGCCUCUUUCAGAAGAAAUUGCUUGCAGGUGUCGGGCGCUGGCCUAGCAGACGACUGCACCAUCGCGGUCCAUUUUAGAUCGGUCAGGACGCUUGCUGUCAUCAAGCCAGGCGAUCCGCACUGGAAGGUGGUUGACCGUGGAAAUUGGCUCUUGCCGGCCAUGUCUUUCGCCGGCCGCUUCUACUGCGCCACCUUUGAGGCUGUGAUGGUGGUCGAGACUAGUGCAGAUCAGCCACCACGGCUGGUCAUCGCCGCCAACCUGAAGAGCAGGCUGAUUUCCAGUAUGAUCACGGACACUUUCCAUCUGGUGGACAAUGGCGCGGAACUGAUACUUGUGGACCGGCAAUCCACCGGCAAUAUGCACAAGAGAAAAUACACCGUGUACCGAGUGGACAUGGAUUCGAGGAAGAUGGUGCGCAUCCGUGGGCUCGGUGGACGCGCGGUGUUUAUGGGCAAUGAACUUGCUCUUUCCGUCUCACCUUCGGUGUUCCCAUCCAUCGACGCCGAUGCAAUCUACUUGGGGUUCGAUGAGCGGAUUGAUGACAACAUUUUGUGGGAGAAUAGCCUGAUUCAUCUUGUGGGUAAAACCACUGACGCUGAGCCUCGUCAACUUGGAGGCAGCAUCAAUGGCAUGCCACUUUAUCAACCCCUGGGUCUUGAUAUUUAUCUAUCUUGGUGUGUUGCUAGUUUUCAUCACACCUUAAUGGACAUGGUUUGUAGCACCUUUCCUAACUGUGCAUUGCCCACACUGAACCCAAGGUCCAGAUAG